CCUACGGGAGGCAGCAGUAAGGAAUAUUGGUCAAUGGAGGCAACUCUGAGCCAGCCAUGCCGCGUGCAGGAAGACGGCCCUAUGGGUUGUAAACUGCUUUUAUACCGGAAUAAACCCUUUUACGUGUAGAAGGUUGAAUGUACGGUAGGAAUAAGGAUCGGCUAACUCCGUGCCAGCAGCCGCGGUAAUACGGAGGAUCCAAGCGUUAUCCGGAUUUAUUGGGUUUAAAGGGUGCGUAGGCGGCCUGUUAAGUCAGAGGUGAAAGACGGUAGCUCAACUAUCGCAGUGCCUUUGAUACUGACGGGCUUGAAUGCAGCUGAGGUAGGCGGAAUGUGACAAGUAGCGGUGAAAUGCAUAGAUAUGUCACAGAACACCAAUUGCGAAGGCAGCUUACUAAAGUGUGAUUGACGCUGAGGCACGAAAGCGUGGGGAUCAAACAGGAUUAGAUACCCUGGUAGUCCACGCCCUAAA
rnacentral:rRNA from 1 species